AGCACGCGUUCUGGGGAAGGGAGGCUGCUGGGCAGUUAUCAAAGGCGGUUGAGUUCCUUCCCUGACCCCCCUUCUUCCCCGUUUCGAAAUCCGCUGUCCAGUUAAAGAAAUAGCGGCCGCGACCAACCGAAAUAGGAGACCGGACUACAAAGUUGACAGGACGCGUUCCUGAAGAGAACCCCCCCUCCCCAGGACGCCAUGGGCCGAGUGGGGGACCCCGGGGUCCUGCUGGGCCAGGAGGAAUUUUUGCUGGGAAAACACAAUUGAGAGGAAGUUCCAGCCUGCGGGGCUGAGGGGUCUUUGAGUGCCUGCGGGCUGGUGUCGCUAUGAGUUUUAUUGUUAUUCACGCUCCCCUAAAAUGCCCUGGUGACCCCUGAAGACCGAGAACGUUGUAAUCGUGUUUUCAACUCGAAGCCCUGCUGAUGCACACAAGAGUGCUCUGUUUUAAGGAACUUGGGAUGGAAAAGAGUCCUGUGGCUGAGGAGAUGGCAUUAUGGAGUUCUGUGAGCCUCCGGGGACCUCGGCUGUUGCGUCACUGGUAGCCCCAGAAUCUCAGGACAUCCAAGAAAGAGAGUGAUCCAGCUAUAAAGCAAAUGGAUAUUGUCUACAGAUGGAUGCCAUCGUGUACCCUUUGGGGGAGAAGAACUAGCCAAAAGAAGAGCCUGCAUGAGAUUCAGAAAGCAGAAGUGAAGCCACAGUCUUCAGAAGUUUGUUGAAGGCAGAUAUGUUGAUGGACAGGUCCAAGAGUCCUGGUGGGAUCCACACUUGUCCUCAUUCACCCUUGAUUCUAUGACCAGACCACAGAGCCAACAGCUUCCCACCAACCUCUCCAAGAGCCCCCUCUUAGACAUCUGCUGUGGGCACCUGCAUCUGGUAGACCACUUGUGCUUCCCUGCACGUCUCAACCUGCCUCUGUGCCAGUGUUUCCAGCUGACUGGUAUCACUGAUCCCUGGGACAGUCCACAUGGGACAGGCACACUAAAUGCUUGACUUCUUUCUCUUUAUGUACCAGUUUUCAACAUAAACAACUGUUCUCUUUCGUCUUCCCAAGGUGACCCCUCACUUUUUAUCCAAAUAUCUAAACUCAUAUCUAAACUCAAAUAAAACCUAUUUGAU